UACAUGCAAGUCGAGACGAGAAGACGUAGCAAUACGUUUGUAAAGCGGCGAACGGGUGAGGAAUACAUGGGUAACCUACCCUCGAGUGGGGAAUAACUAACCGAAAGGUUAGCUAAUACCGCAUACGACUCCUGGUCUGCGGAUCGGGAGGGAAAGCGAUACCGUGGGUAUCGCGCUCUUGGAUGGGCUCAUGUCCUAUCAGCUUGUUGGUGAGGUAACGGCUCACCAAGGCUUCGACGGGUAGCUGGUCUGAGAGGACGAUCAGCCACACUGGCACUGCGACACGGGCCAGACUCCUACGGGAGGCAGCAGUAAGGAAUAUUGCGCAAUGGGCGACAGCCUGACGCAGCGACGCCGCGUGGGGGAUGAAGGUCUUCGGAUUGUAAACCCCUUUCGGCAGGGAAGAUGGAACGGGUAACCGUUCGGACGGUACCUGCAGAAGCAGCCACGGCUAACUUCGUGCCAGCAGCCGCGGUAAUACGAAGGUGGCAAGCGUUGUUCGGAUUUACUGGGC
rnacentral:rRNA from 1 species